rnacentral:rRNA from 1 species
GACGAACGCUGGCGGCGUGCUUAACACAUGCAAGCCGAACGGAAAGGCCCUGCUUUUGUGGGGUGCUCGAGUGGCGAACGGGUGAGUAACACGUGGGUAACCUGCCCUUGACUUUGGGAUAACUUCAGGAAACUGGGGCUAAUACCGGAUAGGAGCUCCUGCUGCAUGGUGGGGGUUGGAAAGUUUCGGCGGUUGGGGAUGGACUCGCGGCUUAUCAGCUUGUUGGUGGGGUAGUGGCUUACCAAGGCUUUGACGGGUAGCCGGCCUGAGAGGGUGACCGGCCACAUUGGGACUGAGAUACGGCCCAGACUCCUACGGGAGGCAGCAGUGGGGAAUAUUGCACAAUGGGCGGAAGCCUGAUGCAGCAACGCCGCGUGCGGGAUGACGGCCUUCGGGUUGUAAACCGCUUUCGCCUGUGACGAAGCGUGAGUGACGGUAAUGGGUAAAGAAGCACCGGCUAACUACGUG